rnacentral:rRNA from 1 species
GACGUAGGGCGCGAGCGUUGUCCGGAUUUAUUGGGCGUAAAGAGCUCGUAGGCGGCUUGUCGCGUCGUCCGUGAAAACCUGCAGCUCAACUGCAGGCUUGCGGUCGAUACGGGCAGGCUAGAGUUCGGUAGGGGAGUCUGGAAUUCCUGGUGUAGCGGUGAAAUGCGCAGAUAUCAGGAGGAACACCGGUGGCGAAGGCGGGACUCUGGGCCGAUACUGACGCUGAGGAGCGAAAGCGUGGGGAGCAAACAGG